UGAGCUCAAUCCAGCGAAAGAUGGAUUAACCCAACGGGCUUUGGCUGCAAGUGCACACGUGCACCAUAAAAAACCUAGAGCACACUUGGUUAUCAUUCCCAUUUCUUAUUUUAAGCUUCGAAACCCUCAGCCCUUAUGUAAAAAAAAAUAUAGAGUCGCUGGUCUUAUGUCUCUCCUUUCAUCUGUAACCAAAAGCCAAAACCAUCUCCACCUAGCUCUCUAGUCAUUCAAAAUCUUCCAAUGGUCCUGGAUUUGUCAAACCCAAAGCAAAUACCCAGCCGUGCCUCCAUAGCUGGAUAUCUGUCGUUUCUUCCUAAAUCUCCAUGUCUUUGCAAAUCGAAGCUCCACUCCGUCAAGUCAAUUUCCCAGUGCACACCAAGUUCAACCCAGAAGUGAUGCAGAGGCCCAAAAAUUCAUAGAUCCUCACGCCCUCGAAGGUAAAGUUCAUCACUGCAAUUAUUUGAGCCUGAACUUGCCAGAUCUAUAAAUGUGCUGCUUGUGCAUGCCUAAAAUAUGACUUGGGAUAUGUCGCAUAAAUCUGUGUAAAGUAGUGCUUUCUGAUUUUAGUCCAUUCAUGUAUCAAUGGUUUUAGUCUACUAUCUGCAAGCUCAUGAAUGUGUUAUGUAUUUUGCAUGUCUUCGUUGAUGAACGCAUGAGCCCAAAAAUCUGUGCAUUAGAUCAAUCCGCGUAUUGGUUUGAUGAAUGUGCUCCCUUCUGUGUUGCUUGGAUCCCACCCCCAAACUUGUAUGUAGUGAUCUUUUAAAUAAAAUGCAAGGGAGUGAUUGAGUGAGAGGGGGUGCCAAGCAAUGCAAGGGGCUUCAUCACCAACCCCACUGUGAGUAUGUCCGGAACUCUGCCCGUGCAUCUUUCUGCAUUCCUUUGGUUUCUGUAAUGCUGGAUCUCAUUAAUGUUGAUGAAUUUACGAUGAAUUCUCUGAGUGAAUGUAUGUUGAAUGCUGCUGAAUGCAUGAUUCAGUCGAAUGUGUGGAUUUAUUGGAUAUUUUGGGCUGAAUUGUUUCCAAAUGCAACUUGCAAUGAUCACACAAUAAAAAUCUAAUUAGAAUAAACCCAAAAUAAAACACUGAUUAACUAAAAAUAUGGCUGUUUUUGUGUUUUUCAUUUUUCAUUUUUUUUGUUGUGAUUUUUGUUAUUGAAAUAAAAGCAAGAAAAUUAAAUUGAACAAAAUUAAAAAGAAAAGAGUUAAGAAAAAAUUGGGUUGCCUCCCAAUUAGCGUUUUAGUUAAUGUCUAUAGCUAGACGGAGUGGAAGGUUGGUGAUCAUGUCACCUGUUCUUGUAGAGUCAACCAAUCUUUAAUAGCAUCAUCAAACACUAUUAGGUAAUGAGUGACUUGAUGUUUAUUGGCCGAGUAUUUAAAUGUUGUGGUUGAGUCCUUAAUGUCUGCUCUGCUAUGUGAAUGAAUUCUUGUAACCAAAGAGAGUCCCUUCAAGCGAGGGUUGUGUCUCUGUUGAACUGACUUAAACCUUGUAUUUAGCACCCACAAUUUUUGCACUGGCUGAGUUUCUUGACGAAGAAUAGGGUUGGAAUUAAUUUUUUUCUUUUCAUUCCCACAUAGAACUUAUCCUGUUGGUAGGACUCAUCUUCAAUUUCUUUGAGUUUGAUUUGCUAUGCAGGUGUACUGUCUGUUAUAGCAAUAAAAUUAUUUUAUCUUUAGCUAUUUGCCCUGUAUCGAAAUCUGGUAGAUUUGUCAAGUGCUGGUCAUGUGUUGGAUCAGAUUUUGAAUUUGUAUGAAUAACCCCUUCGAACAUGUCAGUUUCAAUGCCUUCAUGCAACUUUGUUGGUUGCAUUGUAGCCUCGGGAUAUUGUAUGUGUGGCGUAUAGGUCUGGGUAGGAAUGGGUUAUGGGGAUAUGUUAGGAUCAGCAUGAUCUAUUUCCUCUGUUGUGCAUUAGUCAAACAUUGAUGGCUCUUCAAUCUCAAUAUAUCAUGUUAUUAGAGCUCUCCACACAUUCUAAUGUACUAAUAGCCCAACCGUCCUUUGAACUUUGUGGCACAUUGGGCUGCUCAAAAGGCUGUUGAGUACUUGCCCAUUCAAAACUAGGGAGCUUUAACGAAAAGGGCUUGGGUUAAGUUUUAUUUAAUGAAAAAUCACCCUAAACUAUUAUUUAAUAAAAAGGGCUUAAAUUUUAAUCAUAAGGACAUAAAACUUUUAUCUCAGGAUCUACAAAAACUAAGGCACACGGGCUCAACAAAAAGCCAAACCGCAUAACAAUUAAUAUUCCAAAAUUGCCCCUAACGGAGCCUAAACCAGGCCCGUUAGCCAAAGUUGCAGUUACUAAAAUUCAUCAUCCCUCCAACGCCAUUAAUGUUCACCAACCCCUUCACACCGUACCAAAAAAUCGAAACCUCCAUUGCUCAAAACGUCAAGAUCUCAAAGCAUUUUCAAGUUCGAUUCAAGUUUUUAAACAAUAAUCUACACAUCAAAUCCGGAAUUUCUCAACCCAAAAACUCCAUUUGAAGACGAAAAACUGAAAAUUCGAACUGGAUAGUUGCAGAGUCGAAAUCGAACAAACACAAGUACGAACCUAUAAAAUUUUGUUAUUCUUGAUGAUUUCUUACUUUAAUUUACUAAAUAUGUACAUUUGCAUGUUUGAGAUUCUAAAAAAUGAAUUAUGUUUCCAGUUCAGAGUAUUCUAAUUCUAAUUUGCAUUUAGACGAAAACGCACAAAAAAAAUUGGGAAAUAAAAGCAACAAAGAAGAAACAAAGGUACGUACCACAAAAUUUUUGAUAUUCUCGGUGAUUUUACAGUAAUAUGUAAGUUUGCAUGCUUCGAAUUUGUUGAAUGAGCAAUGUUUCUGCAAAAUGGUAUAUUUUUACUUCACUUUGAUAACUGCUAUAACCUUUAAAUAGUAUUUUCUUGCCCUCAUAUGUUGGUUGCUUUGCUUAAAUAACUUAAAUAUAAUCAACAUUCCAUUCCAAUGGUUUUUAGUUUAAUAAACAGUGUUUACGAAAUAAUUCACAAUUUUAAGUUUAAUAAAAAGUGUUUACGAAAUAGUUUACAAUUUGCUUCAUUUGUAAAUAGAAUUGAAAUGUACGGAAAUAGUAUAAUCUGGGAUGCAUUCAUGAACUAGUACAAAAUAUAUUAUGCUAUUACACGAACUAGUGUGAUUCUCUGUUAAUAAUUUGUACAUUCAACAAACAUUAUAGUUUGAUAAAUAGUAUAGUUUUUUGUCUCUGUUUGAUAACCAGUAUGGAUCCAGAAGUAAUGUGGUGUUUUAGUUUCGCAGCCUAUUAGUAGCAACUUUUCUCCAGCUACAACAAAAAGGCUAAGAUCCGGCAAUUCCAGCCCGAAGAUCUAGUCCUAAGAAAAGCUUUCGUCAUUUUCCUAAGAGAAGGCUCCAAAAAGAUGGACCCCAUCUGGGACGGUCCAUACAAGAUCAGCAAAGUAGGCGGCAAAGGUAGCUACAUCCUCACCACCAUGAACGAUAAAGAAAUCGAAAAGCAGUGACACUCCUACAAUAUGAGGAAGUACGACGUGUGACCUCUCGCUACAUCAAAGCCCGAAGACUCGAGCAGCUAAAUGGGCACCACCCCGCUAGCCGAGAACUAUUUCGUUCACUUCACUUGUUUUUCAAUGAGGAAUUCACAAGUAAGUAAUUUACAACUUGGCUCGACUACAUGUUUACAAUAACUGAUCACUCCUGCAUUUCAAAAGAAUACUGCGCUCUUCCCUGGAGACCAACCAUGCUCUUCAAUGCGAGUGGAUAAGCCAAUUCACUGACAUCCGCAAGGGUCUGUUCUCCAAUGAGAGAGGAUAAACUGUACACUGUGAAUAUCCAGGCUGCCCUGGUAUAACUAGGUGCACGAUGGCUUGCGCCAAGAUUCCUAGAAGUAACCAUAAUGGUCUUUUUCAAGCCUUAGCUAACUGAAGGAUUUUGGGUUUCUUGGCUUAAUCCGUAAGGAACCGGGCCUCAGAGACGGAUGAGGCACAUUACCCCUAUGGACGGCUACCUUGGAACCUUAAAGCUGCUACCGAUUACACUAAGGUAGCUUACGGUUUUCAAAAAACUACCUACGACUUACCCGCCGGGCAGGGGGCCUCGUUAAACUUAUACAACUGCACGUUUUGUGAAAGGUUAAACAAGUUAGCGUGCACAUACGAAGCUUUAUUUGCUGCUGACAUGCUAUGCAGCCAAUAAGCUUCACCUCUGUCAAAGCGCAGAAUGAUCGCAUACGAUCUACUUGCUACGCAACCCACAAAAUUGGUUACAUAAAAGCAAGGAGUUCUCUAAAACCUUUGUUACAAAAUUCCAUACAACUGCAUACUUUUGAUAUGAAAGGUUAGCAAAUUUCAUAACCCAAAAAUCUUUAGUACUUUGUGAUGUAGGCCACAUAGCUCAAAGGAUUGAAGAAAGUUAAUGUUAACAGCCAGGUGGUCACGCGGACUCGUCUGCUUCUGUAAGUAAGGCAUCCGACUGCCGACCCUAUGGCUAAGUUGCAAAGUUCUACACCAACACCCACGGUUGCAUAAGUUACGCGGGCCUGUCUACUUAUAAAAAAAAGUAGCACGCCUGCCACUAGUCUAAAAGUCAAAGGUUGGGUGUGAACAAAAAAAGCAAAGAUGAAGCAAAACGAAGGAAGCAAAUUUAUUAAAUUUUCUAGCAAAAUUGAUAAACAACUAGCAAAGGCUAAAGGAGUUUAAGCAAAGCAAAAAGCAUCAAGGAAAACAAAGAAAUCUUAAAGGCUACCUAGAAUACUACUCUUCAGCAGCUUGAACAUCCCACGGCUACUUGGUUGUCACACCUUCAGCUGCCGCGAUGCUCUUAGCAAUAGCAUCAUCCAACGCUUCACCCCCGGCUGCUCUAACCUGGGCACCAACUUCUUUGACUACUUCACCAAGGGAAGCCUCAAAAGUAAAGACAAGCAAGUCUUCCUAACAAAUAAAAAAGGUCUUGAAGUCUUUCCCAGCAAAUUCAAAGUUAGACGGCCUCCCAAAAAGAUGAUCUACAUGACCCAGCUUGUAGAAAUCAGCCUGACUCUGAACAAGUGAAAUCUCGAGCCUAGCUUCUCACCUUUCAGCUGCUUGUUUUCUUUGAUCAAACCAACACGGACGCGCUGCAGCUCAUCCACUUCCUUCUUCAUAUUUUUGUUGAUCUAUAGUGCACCUUAGAGCUCCAACACUUGGGGUUCAAGCCUAUCAAUGACCUUCUUGAAGUGGAUCACUUAAUUAUAAGCAGCAAUCAACUCUUCAUCCUUCGCAAAAGCAGCAGAACGAAGCUUAGAGACGACACGUUCAAGGUCGUAAAUCUGAGGUAUGUAACAUCCAAUCUCCUUCUCUAUACUUUCAUACUUAACUUGGAUCGCGUUAAGCCUAGUCUUAAAGUCAAUGAUCUUUUGACGAAUGAUCUCAAGUUGCAGAGAACUAGGGGUAAAGAUGUUAGACCCCUUCAAAGCAAUGAGCUCAAACUCCAACCUUUUGACUUUCUGGGCCAAAGAGUAAGCUUCAGCUGCCAUAGUCUUUGCCACCUCCUUGGUAGCCUUGGUAUCCUCUUGGUCAAGAAACAUAGACUCGGCUGCCAGAAUCGUCGUUUUCUGCAUCAUAGUGAGCACAUCAGUCCUCCUAUACUAGUUCGUAUGCUUCACAAAGGAACUUAGGCAGACAACCCAUUCAACGCCAUCAACAAGUUUGGCACACGCGUUCAUGUCUUCAAGCAGAUCUGGUUUCAAUAGCGCAUAAAUCUCAGUAGCCUUCUCGGAAACAGGCUUAAUGGAAAUCUAACAACUGUCCACAGACACCUUUAUGGAUUGAACUUAGAACCUUUAGUUCGUCGGGAGGUGCUAGGUAGCGGAGAUGUGGUCCAGUGUAGGAUCUUCGGACGAAAAUGUCGUUCCAUAUGUAAUAGUGUGCUGCCUAUGUUUAGAGCUUUCUAGACUCUAAUCUUUCUAUGGGGACUGUGUCAUUGACCAGGUAGUCUAUAAUGGAAUCUUACCAGUUUAGAGUUGUACUAACCUGUGACACCUUGAUUGCUGGCUUUGCCUCUAUGCUUGGCUUGUCUAGAUACUCCACCGAAAUAGAGCAUUUGAGUUGGUGGUUAAGGGCGAAGCCUAGGCCGGCUAGUGCGCGAGCAUUGUCUGCCCGUGAAACUUGAGUGGGGAUGUAAGUCCGAAAUGCCUCAAGUUGCUUUCGUACCUUCUCUAGGUAUUACAUCAUCCUCGGAUGUUUUACCGUGUACUCCCCAGUAGUCUGGCUAGUGAUUAGCUGGGAGUCAGAAUGAAUUGCGAGCUUUUUCAUUGCCAAGUCUUUUGCCAUUUAGAAGCCUACUAGUAGGGCCUCAUACUCUGCUUCGUUGUUGGAUGCUUUGAAGCUUAGAGUGAUCGCCUGCUCGAGCAUUGAGCCUUCUGGGGUGACAAAGACCAAGCCUGCUCUCGAGCCUUUGUAGUUGGAUACGGCAUCGACAUGCAAAUGCUAGAAGUCUCCAUCGGGUGGAGCAGGCGCGCAUAGCCUGCUGUCUCUGAGGAGUCGUUGGGCCACUCUGUUAUGUUGCCUAGGCUAGGCGUGAAUUCUGAUAUGAAGUUCGCCAAUGUUUAGGCCUUUAUAGCCGUGCGGGCUCGAAAAACUAAAUUGUGUUGGCCAAGUUUCAACGCCCAUUUCAUCACUCGUUGAGAAGCAUCUAGACCAUGUAAGAUUGAAUAUAGAGGAUAUUGAGUCAUGACGAUGAUUGUAUGAGAUUAAAAAUAUGGUCUGAGCUUCCGAGCCGCAGCAACUAGCGCCAAAAUUAAUUUCUCGAUCUUUGGAUAUCUAGUUUCCUCAUUGAGAAGAGCUUUAGAAAUGUAGAAUACCGGUAAUUAGGCCCCUAACUUUUCUCGUAUGAGAGCAGAGCUCAUUGCUACUUCCGAGACUGCCAAGUAGAUGUAUAAAUCCUCUACAGCUUCCGGCUUGGAUAGUAAGUGAGGUGAUGUAAGAUACUUCUUCAGGUCUUGGAAAACUCUUUCACACUCGUCAUCCCAUUUGUCUCGUUGUGCCCUCUUGAUCACGUUGAAAAAAAACUUGCAUCAAUCAGUGGACCGUGAGAGAAAACGGUUGAGGGUAGCUUCUCGUUCGAUCAAGCUUUGGAUCUCCUUCAAGGUAGUUGGAGAUUUCAUCUCUAAGAUUGCUCGGAUUUGCUUGGGAUGUGCUUCGAUUCCUUGUUUGGUUACUUGGUACUCUAAGAAUCUACCUGAAGAUACUCCAAAUGUGCAUUUGGCAGGAUUAAGCUUUAUCUUGUACUUUCUAAGGAUAUCGAAAGUUUCCGCCAAGUAGCCAAUGUGGUUUGAUCGAUGCUUGGCUUUCACCAUAAUGUUGUCGAUGUAGACCUCCAUGGUUACUCUGAUUUGCUUCUUGAACAUCAUGUUUACCAAUCGUUGGUAAAUGGCUCCCACAUUCUUGAGGCUAAAGGGCAUGACCUUGUAGUAGUAUGUGCCUCGCUCGAUCACGAAUGCAGUUUUCUCCUUGUCGAGCUCAUACAUGGCUAUUUGGUUGUAGCCGGAGUAUGCGUCCAAGAAACUGAGCAGCUGGUUUCCAGAAGUUGAAUCUACUAAUAGAUCGAUUCAGGGAAUUGGAUAAAGAUCUUGUGGGCAUGCUUUGUUGAGGUUGGUGUAGUCUACCCAAACCCUCUAUUUGUCAUUCUCUUUCUUCAUCACUAGCACGACGUUAGCAAGCCAUACAGAGUGUACUACAUCUUCUAUAAAUCUAGCCUUCAAUUGCUUGUCAAUUUUCGCUUCAAUGAUCCUCACUCGCUCAGGUGCGAAAUGUCUUCUCUUUUAGAUCACUGAUUUAGUAGCAGGGUCGACAUGCAACUUGUGGCAAGUUAUCUUGGGGUCGAUGCCGGGUAUGUCAAAAAGUGACCAUGCGAAAACGUCACAACCAUAAGGAAAGACGUGAGUUCCUCCUUGUCUUUUGGGCUAAGGUGUGAGCCGAUUCUAGCAGUCUUCUCCGGCUACUGAGGAUCAAGAAUAAUGUGCUCAGCGUCCUUUUCAGGUUUCCAUCAUGUUUCGUUUGCUGUCGUGUUGAUUUGGACAUCAUCUUCUUGAUCUGUCUGCUGUAAUUGCUAUUUGGCAGCUUCUUCGUCCCUUUAGACCUCAGUAGUCUUUACGGGGGGUAAAGGUUUUCUUCUUUGAUUCCUUUAAUACUUGCACAGUGCAUAGUCGAGAUGUGGCCUAGUCAAACUUGAUUUCUCCAACUUCUCUUUCAGGGGAUGCAGAAUCAGAUUUCUUGAUACUUGACAGAGGAUAUGACGUCCAUCUUUAUCAGCCAAGGUUACCCUAGAAUCCCAUUGUAGGGAGACGGGUCGUUUACUAUCGUGAAUGUUUAUUUUGAGACAACUGGUGGUGUUCUCACGUCAAGUGUGAUGUUGUCAAUGGCAGUCGAGGUGUGUCCGUUGAAUCCGGUGAAUACCUCUAUUUCACGUACUAUUAUGCUUUCCAAGCACAUCUUCUGAAUUACUGAGAGUUGAAGUAGGUUAACCGCACUUCCAUUGUCAACCAUCAUUCUGUCGACUAUGGCAUUGACUAAUUUAACAGAUACCACUAGUGCGUCGUUGUGUGGGAAAUCGACGCCUUCAACAUCCUGCUCGGUGAAGCCAACGAUGGGUCCAGGUUGAGUGUUAACUGCCUGGACUUGUGAGAUUAAUUGGGUCAGCUGGAUAUUCAUUUUCUUAAAAUUGUUGGUGGCCCCCAAGUGUUUGAAUUCGACAAAGAUACCAUUAAUCCUAAUCGUCUUAAUCGGUGGCUCUUUGUAGACAUCUACGUUCCUCCUAGGCUGUGCAACUAGCUUGUCCAAGUAUCUAUCAACCUUGCCUUCUUUCACGAGCUCUUCUAGGUAGUUCUUCCAAGUGUAACAGCCGUCAGUCGUGUGACCAGAACCUCGAUGGAAUGCGCAGUACUUAGUAUGGUCCAACUUGGAAAUAUGUCCAUUUGAUUGUUUCGACAGCUUGAAGAAUGGUUCGUUCUUGAUGUUGCAAAGGAUUUGGUGGUAGUUCUUGGACGUUAGGCCUUCUUUGGUCGUAGGUUGAUCCCUAUGUUUGGCCUCCUGCCUGUUUUUGUUGUACUGCUUCCCGUCUUCCUUCUUUUGAGCCACUACGAAAGAGUUUGCCAAAGUUAGAUCUUCUUUCAUGAUCAAUUCUCCAAACAGCGGGUGGUCUGCUGGGAGUCAUUUUUGGAAGGCUGCACUUGCUAUCGAGUCAUCGCAUUCUAUCUUUGCCUUCUCUACUUUGAACCUCUUUACAUAGUCACGGAGCGACUCAUUUGGAUUUUUCUUCACAUUAAACAAAUGGUCGAACUUCUUUUUGAUCGAGCGAUAGGAUGAAUAUCCUUGGUGAAAACCAAAGAAAGAUCAUCGAAACUCUGGAUGGAUCGUGGCGGGAAGGUGUCUUGCCUUGCAAAGUGGUGGCGAAUAUCUUGCACAUAAGAGCGUCGUUGUUCCAAUAAAGGACCAUUGUGCUCCGGUAGUGCUUUAAGUGUCUCUCCGGAUCUGCAUUUCCUUUGAAGGAUGUGAAAUGUGGCAUGCUGAACUUGUGUGGAGGCUCUGCCUGCUCGAUCUCAUCCGUGAAAGGUGACCUAAUCAUGUUGGUCAUGUCCCGUCGUAACGCCUUAUCAGUGAACUCAUUGCGUUGGAAAUCAUAUAACCGCUCAGUCAAUAACCUCUCUACUUCUUCCUAAAUUUGUCUUUGUUAAGGUAACGAAGCUCUUGGCUGCCCUCGAUCUUAACCUGUUGGUCUAGUGUGAAAUCUCGUCCUCGAAAUUUCACUAUUCAUUACAUAUCUCGUUAUUACAAACGAUUGAGUACAGGCAUAGUAAAAAUUGGAACUUGGAACAAGAAAGAUUUUACAAAACAAGUAUCAAUCAUUUUAUUCAAAGUAGAGGGAAAAGAAAAUAUCACUAGAUAUAAAAUAUUAAUGAUAGAAUAAAAUAAUAAUAAAAUAAGAAAGAGAGGAAGGGCGGAGAACCAUCGAGAAAAAGAAAGGGAAACGGGAGAAAGGGGGAUUUUGGGCUUGGGAAAAUGAGAGGGAGAGGCCAUUUUCCUCUUCCUCUUUUACCCACUUCACCCCUUGCAAACUAUUUUCAACUUAACUUCCUUAUACGAUAAUGAAAUCACAUGAGGCUGGAAGCUAUACUUUCGUAGCAAAGCCGUCUUCAAUCUGAUACCAUACCCACACUUUGAAAACUGGUGCACAAAGAAAAGAAGGUCCAAACAUAUUGACGUUUUCCGGCGACUCUCCCCCGAUUUCAGCCAACCCCGUUGGAACCUGGCCUCGACCCAAGUGAAAGUAAUGAUUCUUUCACCGUGGGCUCUCCUCUAGCGAGUUGAAUCGGAACUGGGCAAGAAGGAUUAGUUGCAUAUUUAGGGAAGAACCUUGAAAUCCUAACCUCAAUUUGGUUCUCUUUAGAAAUGUAAGAGUUGGGUUUGUUUUAUAAGUAUCAAUGUUAUUCCCUAAUCGAGGCCAGAUACAUUUGAAUAUUUUGUAUGCCACAUUUGUCCUACACUUGAAGAACAUUGCUGAAUUUGAAUGUGUUGUAGCCUAA